UUUAAGGGUGGUGACACAGCUAAGACCCGAGAGUCUCUUUCAAGACACUGAAUUUGAGCAGAAACCAUAAGGAUACUCAAAGGACCUGUGACUCUCAGGAAAUGCAUCAAAUGAGAGUGAGAGGUGAAACCAUUUCAAGACAAUGGCAGGAAAAGCAUGCUGAAGAUUGAAUCAAACCUUGGCUGGAAAUAUUUGAAGGGAUCUAGCCAGUCCACAAUGAAAGCUUCGUUGCCCCCCUGUGAGUCUUCUGGCAGAAAUGAUGCCGCCUGUAUUC